CGCAUUAUCCUUCUUCUCUUCCUCCCUCAAUCUUCUUCGCACGAGAGCUUCGAAGCUCUCCCAUCUCGUAAACCACCAAGAUCCAAUGGUUACCUCAGCCGUUCGGAGCCCCAAGCCUUAUAUCCGGCCACCAUACCUCAUCUCUCACGACCGAACCUCUCAUCCUUUAACCCGAGCAGCUUCAAACACCGUUAAUGGUGAGGAUUCAACUUCGGCCACCUUUUGAGCUACCUAAUCUAACCUUAACAUCAACCUCCUUUCUCUAACUCUAAUUUCCUACUUCGUAGCAAAACUCCUUUUCAGAAUUCGUCACCACCGUAAAUCAACGCUACAUGCCCAUUGACCUUAAGGGAAUUCAAAUGACGAUGAAAUGGGAUUAAUGAAAAUUCCAUAUGCGUUCGUCCAACACAGAGGCUAAUUGGAGUUGGCGGUGGCUUUAGCUGAUGGCUUUUAGGGUUUUAUAACCCUAAUUCAACUGGGUUGAGUCUACUGUUCGGAUCCAAAUUUGGGUCUUGGGUUUUAUUAUCUGCUGGGCUGUUGAUGCUUGUAAUCUGGGCCAAAGUUAGGCUUCAGGUUAACUGUUGUA